rnacentral:rRNA from 1 species
GACGAACGCUGGCGGCGUGCCUAAUACAUGCAAGUCGAGCGAAGUUUUUCUGGUGCUUGCACUAGAAAAACUUAGCGGCGAACGGGUGAGUAACACGUAAAGAACCUGCCUCAUAGACUGGGACAACUAUUGGAAACGAUAGCUAAUACCGGAUAACAGCAUUAACUGCAUGGUUGAUGUUUAAAAGUUGGUUAUGCUAACACUAUGAGAUGGCUUUGCGGUGCAUUAGCUAGUUGGUGGGGUAAAGGCCCACCAAGGCGACGAUGCAUAGCCGACCUGAGAGGGUGAUCGGCCACACUGGGACUGAGACACGGCCCAGACUCCUACGGGAGGCAGCAGUAGGGAAUCUUCCGCAAUGGGCGAAAGCCUGACGGGAGCAACGCCCGCGUGGAGUGAAGAAGGAUUUCGGUUUCGUAAAAGCUCUGUU